CCUACGGGGGCUGCAGUGGGGAAUAUUGGACAAUGGGCGAAAGCCUGAUCCAGCCAUGCCGCGUGUGUGAAGAAGGCCUUCGGGUUGUAAAGCACUUUCAGUGGGGAAGAAAGCCUUGGGGCUAAUACCCUCGAGGAAGGACAUCACCCACAGAAGAAGCACCGGCUAACUCCGUGCCAGCAGCCGCGGUAAUACGGAGGGUGCGAGCGUUAAUCGGAAUUACUGGGCGUAAAGCGCGCGUAGGCGGUCUGAUAAGCCGGUUGUGAAAGCCCCGGGCUCAACCUGGGAACGGCAUCCGGAACUGUCAGGCUAGAGUGCAGGAGAGGAAGGUAGAAUUCCCGGUGUAGCGGUGAAAUGCGUAGAGAUCGGGAGGAAUACCAGUGGCGAAGGCGGUCUUCUGGACUGACACUGACGCUGAGGUGCGAAAGCGUGGGUAGCAAACAGGAUUAGAUACCCGUGUAGUC
rnacentral:rRNA from 1 species